GUUCUUUUUAGUGAAGAGGUCUUUGAUCUCUGCUGGGUCUUACAGAUCUUUCUUUUAAAGAGAGAGAGAGAAAAGAAGAGAGGAGGGGGGAGAGAAGGGAAAAGCGGGGAGAGAUCUUUGGCAGGUGCAGAGUGAAAACCUCUUUCAGCUACACUGAAUUCUGGAGACUGGUUGGACUAGUAGCUCUGCAGCUCCAGCUUUCAGUGGGUGUGUUAAAUAUUAUGAGCGAGCCAUGAUUCCUGCCUUCCUCACGUCAUAGUUAGGAGAUUGGCUAAAUAAACGCUACAGUGAUAGUAACAGGAAAACCUCAACCAAAAGAGGGGUUUUUUUCCCUCCUCUCCUCCCUCCUUCCCACCCCCCCUUUUCAUUCUACUGCAGCUCCAACUGGGGCAAGGAGAGGGCGUCUGUUCCACAAAGGUUUGGGAAAAAAAAUAAAAUGAAACGAAAUAAAAUGUAAAGCGGUAGAGGAGAGAGGAUCCUGCGCUGCCAGCGCUGCGAGGCGGCAGCAGCAGCGCCGUGCGCCGGGCCGGGCCGGGAUGGGCGGCCCUGCUCCGCCGCCGCCGCGCUCAUCGCCCUCGCCCCCGGCCCCGCGGGGUCAGCCCGGGCUCCGCUGGCCGGGGAUCAGCCUCCGGGUCUGAUCCGGGAUCCCUCACCGGGAUCCAGCUGCCCUCCCUCCCCUUCCCCCCUCUCCGCUGCUGGCUCUGUGCCUGCUGGCCCAGCGGGCUAGUGGCAGGGCCCGGGGCCCCCCCCCCCCCCCCCCCCCCCCCCCCCCCCCCCCCCCCCCCCCCCCCCCCCCCCCCCCCCCCCCCCCCCCCCCCCCCAGCCCCGGGAGCACUGAGGCAGCCGUUUGACAGCCAGGGCACCCUGCAGGAACGAGCUGCCCCUGGCGCUUCAGGUGGUCAGGCAGGGAAUGCCCAGAACCGGCAGAACGAGGCAGGAACUCGGAACCUUCUUCCCCGGCUGGAGAAGACUCUUCCUCACUGUGCAGUGGCCUGCAGGAGCUAAAUGGGAACGGGAAGGAGGGGAGAAGGAUGCUUUUGUUUUCCUUUUAUCAUUUUUGGAGGUGAUCAGAUGCUGCAGAAUUCUGCAAGGACGGGGGAAGGAGGCUGAUGUCACCUGGCUGUUUGUUUCUGCAAGCAGAGAGCGCAUCUUCAACUGGAUCCUGGAAGCACAGAGCUUUAUGAGGCCAGCUUCAGAGAGGCAGGAAUUUUGCCCAGACUGCAGGCAGUGCCAUGCUCCUGAGGGGUACCAGAGCUCCCUUCUGAGUACAAAACUGAGCCCAGAAGCUCAGACCAAGCUGGGUUCAGCCUCCCCAAGCCCAGAACCGAGCUGGGGUCCUGGAGCCUCAGUGAUGCCCAUCCUCACCGUGUGCCUACAGAGGGGGAGGGAGAAAGAAAAUGAAUCCCCUUGUAUGAGAGGUGAAAUGAUGCUGACAGAAGGAUAAAAUCAACCAAACUCCAAACAGCAAUUCUUGCUGUGAUUUGGAUCUGAGCAAUAAAUAUAUGUUUUAUCUUGCUGGGGCUUGGAUAUAAUUGAAUCGAACUUUGUUGGAAAAUUAGCCCAGACAUGCUGAAAGCUUCACACAAUUCGAAACCAGGCAGUUUUGCUUGGUUCAGGUUUAAUUAUGAAUGGUUCACUCAGCCCUGGUAAUGACUCAUAUUCACUAACUAGCCUGUAUAUGAGAUGUGACAAAAGUGUAGUUCAGAUACACAAAGCAUAAUUAUUUAAUGAUGAAGUAAAGUUGAUUAGGAAGCCUUUAAGCUAUUACACUCUUAGCAGGGUAUUUUGCAGUCACUGAAUAAAUGAACAUAAUUUAAUUCUUAAAAGCUGCAUAGCUCCUGCUGCUUUAGAAAAUGAUAUGUAGCAAACACAAUAGGUUUUUCCCAUUACAGAAUUCUAUAUGCUACAACCAACAGCAUACAGAAUGCAAUGCAAUGCCACUAAGAAUAAGGAAAACUAUUCUUAGUGACUAUCCAGGCUAAAAAUGAUAGAAUUCACAUAUCCACUAACAAUCAUGAACCUGACAAAUCAAGCUUGUAAGCCUGUGGUGUGAUCUGAAAACCUAACAAGCUUCCAAGAAGAAUCUCCAUUUUAAAAAUACACUCUUUCUUCCUGGAUUCUUUUUUUUUUUCCCCCUCAUGAUAUGUGCAAGACUGAACAGCCUGAGAACAGCUGUGCCACUGAAGGGAUAUAUUUAUAUAUUAUGUAGCUGUGUUCCAAUUAUGAAAUUGAUCCAUGGAUAAAAAUCCCUCAAGGGUGGCUAUUAAUGAGAUUGUCUGCUCUGAGUGCAUCCAGUAAUAAGAUUAGGUAUGCAUUUAUCCUGAGUAGAGAUAAACCAAAGACAAGUUCGUGCCAAGAUAAGACAGUUUUGAAAGGCAAUUAAACAUGGGACAUAAUGUGCAUGCAUAUAUCUGUGGGAGGCUGCAGGAUGCAAAGUUGGUUUUCAUCUGCAGAAGUGCUCCUGAAUGUAACAGGUAGGGAGAAAUAGGCUUUUUCACAGGAGUGAGAGUAAAUUCCAUCUCAAAAAUCAAAAUGUUGGAAUCUCUAAUUUACAAACCAGUAUUAUUAAAAAUGCACCCUGGCCUUUUUUGUUUGGUUGUUUGUUUUUUUUUUCUCCACUUAUGAAAGGCUUGUAAACACCCUUGACAAUUAGCAGCUGUUCAGUGAGAUGAGAGUCAAUCAACACUUGGAGUUCAGAGAACAGAGCACCUUAACAGACCCAGGCACAACCAGGCAGGCUGCCCAAUGCAGGCAAAUCGCAGGGAUGCUGAGACAAACAGUCUCAAGCAUUUCCCACGGGAUUGGCAGCAGAAAUACCUCUGCCAUGGUUAUGGCACACUGGGACACAAAAUCUUGCACCAGGAAUUAAUCGGGGACAGUUUGGGUAGAGCUGGAGGAGCAGCCAGAGUAGAAAUGCACACAGAGCCAAAGAUUGUCACCACAUCACUGCCAGGACCUUUCUGUCCUCACUUUGUGGCCAUUGGAAUGGUUGGUCACUCAUCACACUCCUGCAGAACAGCUGAAAUACCUCCCAAAAUUUUCCCCUCAUUUCACAGCACCGGGGAAAGUUUCUCCUUCUCACGCUGCCCCUGCUGCUGCUCAGGACAUGGCUGGGCUGCAGCACCUCCAACAACUGGGGGACACAGGGUGCAAGAGGCCAGAACCCCCCUGGGAGCAGCAUCCUGCCUUGCAGGUGAACAGCUCAAGCGCAAAUGAAAUUCUGAGUUACCGGAAUCUUAAAGCAGGUGCUUGCUGCCCUUCACAAACUGACCCAGAGCCAAGGUCUCGGUGCAGCCGGAACCCCUGGGAACUGCUCUGGGCAUCACCAGGCAUCAGGUAAAAGUGUGAGGGGGGAGGAAAACUGCAACUCAGUCUCUGGGGAGAUAAUGGGCAAUAGUGUGAGGGGGGAGGAAAACUGCAACUCAGUUUGUGCAGCAGUCUCUGGGGAGAUAAUGGGCAACAACUGGAGCACAAAGGGGAGGAAUGAAGGCACGAUUUGUGCUCCCUCCACUUUGUGCCUGACCAGUUCAAGGUCACUCUGCCAGCACGAACAAGAGCAGCCUGGAGGCUCCUGCAAACCACACCCACUGACAAAGCCUUUAAACAGAAAGUUAUGAGGAGAUGGGGAAGUCCUUCCAAUAAUGAGCAUGAGCACCUCUCAGGAAAUUCUGGACGAAUUCUUAAUAAUAAAAAUUUGUAGUGGCAGAGCAUCUUAAAAAACCCAUCUUCCAGAAAUAUUGGCAUCUCAAUGAUUUAUGAAUGCAAGGGAAAUUCCCUUCCUCAUUCUUUAGAAUAUAAAAGCCUCCUGUUCAACUGUCAAAUACCCAUUUCUCACAAACUAAAUUAAUUAAGAAAUUUGAAUGUUUGACACUUCAGCUAGGUGUGUUUGAAAGGAAUAAAUAGAUUUCUGCUAUCUAUUCACAGACCUAGAAGUAAUGAUUAUAAGUUUUUAAAAUAUUCAUUAAAUGGGUAUUCUAUUAAGCAGUGACUGCAUAGUGCAUGCAGAAAAUGUGUUUGAUUGGGGAGUUCUUGAAUAUAGCUGUGUACUGUAAUGAGCCUUCUGUUUAAAAGAUCUAUGUAUACAUUAUUAUAUUUAGCAUUUUUCUCCCAGAGUAGUUUAUUCACAGGUAAUUAUUUGCUUAACUUAUUUAAAGUGGCACAGAAUCAAGUUCUCAUCUGCUGCAGAAAGCUGCUGGAUUCCCACCUCUCAGGUGAUCUCAGGAUCCUUUCACACCCCAUCUCAUUUGACAGAAGUACAAGGUCAAGCAAAGCCACCCUAUCGUUUUUCACUCAAAAAUAAUUCAUUGGCCUGCCUUUUUGUUAAAAACCAUAUUAAAAGGCACUAGAGAAAUGCAGUAAUUUAGUAAGAAAUACUGGAUUUAGCAGCUUCUCCCAUUCGAGUGUCUGUUCCCUGCCAGGACAGCUGAUUCUUCCAAAUCCUGUCCUUUGUGUCACAUAUGGUCACACAGCGCUGAGCACUGACAUGCAUUCUCCUAACAGAUCCUCUGAAUCAUCAACUUUGUUUUGCCUCUUGGGUUCCCUCCUUCAGAAUUCUAAAAAAUCAGCUCUCUUCCAAAUUAGCAUCAAAGAUUUACUGGUUGAGUACAAGACCUCUGAGGUCUUUUUGAAAACUCUGCUAAUUUUGCUUUUCUAUGUCCUUCCUCCACUGCCCCCUCCUGUAAUCAGGAUCCCAAAGUGUGCUUUCUGAUGAGGAUUGAGCCAUGACCCGUGCAUGAUUGCAGGAAAUAAGCCUUUAAAGUAUGCCUAAGUGCUCUGCUUGUUUGAAGCUACUGAUCCUUAAAAUAGAUGUCUGUAAAAAUGUGUAAUUUCAAAUGCUUCUGCAGAUAUUGUUCCAGUCUGUGUCACGAGGAGACACAUCAAGCCAAGUUAUAUCGGUUAUGCUCCAUUAUAUCAUGAAUCCAAAUAUCCAGCAAUACUUUAAAUUAAAAUCCUACCCUUGUACAGAUUCUUUCCCUAGUUUCCACUUGCAAAGCAUCAAAAUAUUCUGCUUGAGUUUGGGGGUUUAUUUUAGCUAUUCACCAAAAUUCUUUUCCGUGUAAAAAUUAUUUCAAGUACUGUGAGAAAUGGUGAAGAAUUAUUCCAUGUUAAUAUUCUCAAUAUCUUUAAUGAUUUAAAGUCUAGAGAGUCUGAUGUUCAUUCUUGUAGGGAUCAUUUCUUUCUUCUAGACCCACCUUAUUUUCCUGCUCACCAUCCCUUUUUUGUUCCUUUCUCAUCUUUUCCAGAGAAGAUGAUCACAAGUGGGUUUUGUGAACUGGUUCACCACAGACUGAUAUAAUGGUAACCAAGAAAUGCCACAUUUUCUUCUCCAGCAGUUUCCACAAUAUUCCCACCACUGUUCCCCUGAUCAGCUCUCAACUUAGAAUGGCUUUUACUAAACUAAGGAACUAAACACAAGGACUCAGAGAUUUUUCUCCUAAGUUUUUAUAACGAAGCUGUGUGGACUAAAAUCAGCCAAAUCAGCACAGGCAGCUGGGGCAGAGUUGUUUCUUUCUCUCCAGUGGCUCAGUGCACAGAGCACUUCUGAGAAGCUCCAGAAAUCUGAGAAAAUAGAGCAAGACCAGGACUUCU
rnacentral:lncRNA from 1 species